rnacentral:rRNA from 2 species
UGCGGGUCUACCGUGCGAGUCGAACGAUGAACCACUUCGGUGGGGAUUAGUGGCGAACGGGUGAGUAACACGUGGGCAAUCUGCCCUUCACUCUGGGACAAGCCCUGGAAACGGGGUCUAAUACCGGAUAACACUGCGGAUCUCAUGGUCUGCGGUUAAAAGCUCCGGCGGUGAAGGAUGAGCCCGCGGCCUAUCAGCUUGUUGGUGAGGUAAUGGCUCACCAAGGCGACGACGGGUAGCCGGCCUGAGAGGGCGACCGGCCACACUGGGACUGAGACACGGCCCAGACUCCUACGGGAGGCAGCAGUGGGGAAUAUUGCACAAUGGGCGAAAGCCUGAUGCAGCGACGCCGCGUGAGGGAUGACGGCCUUCGGGUUGUAAACCUCUUUCAGCAGGGAAGAAGCGAAAGUGACGGUACCUGCAGAAGAAGCGCCGGCUAACUACGUGCCAGCAGC